rnacentral:rRNA from 1 species
GACCAGACUCCUACGGGAGGCAGCAGUGGGGAAUAUUGGGCAAUGGGCGCAAGCCUGACCCAGCAACGCCGCGUGAAGGAAGAAGGCUUUCGGGUUGUAAACUUCUUUUCUCAGGGACGAAGCAAGACGGUACCUGACUAAGAAGCCCCGGCUAACUACGUGCCAGCAGCCGCGGUAAUACGUAGGUGGCAAGCGUUGUCCGGAUUUACUGGGUGUAAAGGGCGUGCAGCCGGGCUGACAAGUCAGAUGUGAAAUCCCGCGGCUCAACCGCGGAACUGCAUUUGAAACUGUCAGUCUUGAGUACCGGAGAGGUCAUCGGAAUUCCUUGUGUAGCGGUGAAAUGCGUAGAUAUAAGGAAGAACACCAGUGGCGAAGGCGGAUGACUGGACGGCAACUGACGGUGAGGCGCGAAAGCGUGGGGAGCAAACAGGAUUAGAUACCCGUGUAUU